rnacentral:rRNA from 1 species
GAUAAACGCUGGCGGCGCACAUAAGACAUGCAAGUCGAACGGACUUAACCGAGAUGUUUACAUUUUGGAGCGGUUAGUGGCGGACUGGUGAGUAACACGUAAGCAACCUGCCUAUUAGAGGGGAAUAACAGUGAGAAAUCAUUGCUAAUACCGCAUAUGCCAUAAUUACCACAUGGUGAUAGUGGGAAAGGAGAAAUCCGCUGAUAGAUGGGCUUGCGUCUGAUUAGAUAGUUGGUGGGGUAACGGCCUACCAAGUCGACGAUCAGUAGCCGAACUGAGAGGUUGAACGGCCACAUUGGGACUGAGAUACGGCCCAGACUCCUACGGGAGGCAGCAGUCGGGAAUAUUGCACAAUGGAGGAAACUCUGAUGCAGUGACGCCGCGUGCAGGAAGAAGGUUUUCGGAUUGUAAACUGCUUUAGACAGGGAAGAAAAAAGACAGUACCUGUAGAAUAAGCUCCGGCUAACUACGUGCCAGCAGCCGCGGUAAUACGUAGGGAGCAAGCGUUAUCCGGAUUUAUUGGGUGUAAAGGGUGCGUAGACGGGUUAACAAGUUAGUUGUGAAAUCCCUCGGCUUAACUGAGGAACUGCAACUAAAACUAUUAAUCUUGAGUGCGGGAGAGGAAAGUGGAAUUCCUAGUGUAGCGGUGAAAUGCGUAGAUAUUAGGAGGAACACCAGUGGCGAAGGCGACUUUCUGGACCGUAACUGACGUUGAGGCACGAAAGUGUGGGGAGCAAACAGGAUUAGAUACCCUGGUAGUCCACACUGUAAACGAUGGAUACUAGGUGUAGGGGUUAUUAAGACUUCUGUGCCGUCGCAAACGCAGUAAGUAUCCCACCUGGGGAGUACGACCGCAAGGUUGAAACUCAAAGGAAUUGACGGGGGCCCGCACAAGCAGUGGAGUAUGUGGUUUAAUUCGAAGCAACGCGAAGAACCUUACCAGGGCUUGACAUAUACAGUAAUAUACUAGAGAUAGUAUAGCUCUUCGGAGACUGUAUACAGGUGGUGCAUGGUUGUCGUCAGCUCGUGUCGUGAGAUGUUGGGUUAAGUCCCGCAACGAGCGCAACCCCUGUUUCUAGUUGCCAGCGCGUAAUGGUGGGAACUCUAGAAAGACUGCCGGUGAUAAAUCGGAGGAAGGUGGGGACGACGUCAAAUCAUCAUGCCCUUUAUGUCCUGGGCUACACACGUACUACAAUGGCUAUAACAAAGAGAAGCGAAGCAGUGAUGUGGAGCGAAACUCAAAAAAAUAGUCUCAGUUCGGAUUGAAGGCUGAAAUUCGCCUUCAUGAAGCCGGAAUUGCUAGUAAUGGCAGGUCAGCAUACUGCCGUGAAUACGUUCCCGGGCCUUGUACACACCGCCCGUCACACCAUGAGAGUUGGGAAUACCCGAAGCCUGUGAGCUAACUUAUAGAGGCAGCAGUCGAAGGUAGAAUCAAUGAUUGGGGUGAAGUCGUAACAAGGUAGCCGUAUCGGAAGGUGCGGCUGGAUCACCUCCUUUCUAAGGAGAAAUGUCUUGAUAGGAUUUAUUGUUUAUUUUUCAAUGUACUUUAAUUAGUACAUUGAUUAUGUGGGGCUAUAGCUCAGUUGGCUAGAGCGCCUGCCUUGCAAGCAGGAGGUCAAGAGUUCGACUCUCUUUAGCUCCACCAACCUAGGAAAAAACUAGGUAAAAGCACAUUGAAAAAUAUAUAGAUAUAUGAUGAAAAAAGGUAAACUAGAAGAACUAGAAAAAAACAAUGAAACCGAGGUAUAAAAAAUACCAAAAAAGAUAACCGAAAAAAGGUUAAGCUACUAAGAGCGUAGGGUGAAUGCCUUGGCACCAAGAGCCGAUGAAGGACGUGAUAAGCUGCGAAAAGCUAUGGGUAGGAGCAAAUAUCCAUUAAUCCAUAGAUAUCCGAAUGAGGGAACUCAUCUAGUGAAAACAAACUAGAUAUCUGCACAUGAGUAAAGUAGUGUGUAAGAAGGGAACGUGGGGAACUGAAACAUCUAAGUACCCACAGGAAAAGAAAGAAAACUCGAUUCCUAGAGUAGUGGCGAGCGAAAUAGGAGAAGCCUAAACCAAAGAUAGUAAUAUCUUUGGGGUUACGGACUAUAUAAAUGAUUUAACGAGUCUAAUAGAAUUGUUUGGGAAAGCAAACCAUAGAAGGUGAGAGUCCAGUAUAUGAAAGACGAGUUAACAUGAUAGUAUCCAGAAUAGUGCGAGGCACGUGAAACCUCGUAUGAAGAAGUGGGGACCACCCCAUAAGGCUAAAUACUACUUGGUGACCGAUAGUGAAGC